AAUUACAGCUGCAUUAAAAAGUAAUGAAGUUAUAUGAGCAGAGCCCGAGCCGACAGAAGGCGCCGAGAUGGAGGGACGGGAUGGAGAAUCUGCUCAUGGAGGUGAAAUGUCAAUGAGAUGACUCUGCAGCUCCCAGAAACCUCCACAGUUCAGCACCAAUCAAUCUUGUGAGAAUCUGUUACCGUGGAGACCAAAUAAAACAGCUGCCUCAUCGUUUUAGUUACUCUCCAUAAUGAUAGUUCCAGUUUGUUUUAAUGUGUUCGUAUUGAAGCGACUGUUGUGUUUGCGUGAACGCGCGCCGCCGUGUUUCUGCCGGCGAGUAACGGCGCUGGAUUGCUUUGGUGGAGCGUUUAGGUUGGGGUCAGACGUGAGAGCAAGGCAAUUUGAGGGUGGAAAUGAGCGAUGUCUUCUUUCAUUUGAGAGCGAGAGGCCUCAGCCGAUCGCUCGCCGUCUCCUCCGACAUGGAGGCGCGACCGUCGAGUCUCAGCUUCUGCGUCCGUCUCUCGACAUGGAGGAGAAGGAGCGCACAGCUCCAGUGUUUUCCUGAGGGAUCCUCCACAGCAGUGAAGGAGCCUCUUCAGUGAACAGGAUCUGGCUCCUUGUCAGAGGGGGGACACUGACCGGUUCUUGUUUUUGACUUUAAUUUAAAAACAAAUGAAUGAUACACAGAUUAAAAUCCUGAAAAUCUA